AAAGUAUCGUCCCAGCCAAGCUUGGACAGAAGCCAAAAAACAUUGUUUGUUGAAACCGCACAAGAACCAGAGUUUCAUUACGCCACUUUUCACGAGAAUAAAUUCACAACGAUUGCCUCGCUUGUUACGUGUGGAACGCAUGGUACUGAAUGCGUCUUCCUUUAUUUCCAAAUAAAGCGCAGAUCGUAAAAAUGGGACGUUCAUACACGAUGUUUUUUUCGUCACAAAAUUAAUUAUUUUUUUUGUUUGCGUAACACAGUUUUCGUCAAUGGUUACAGUAAAGAAUUUUUCGUCCGUGUUGCAAUAAAAUUAAUUUUAUCUAAUCCACGCUCGAGCUCAUCGUCACCGUUGUGCUUUUCUCCCAACAAUUUACCUUCCAUGUAGUUUUGGUUCGUAAAUACACUCGUUAUUAGCAGACGAAAGAGUACUUGUUGCUUAAACUAGCGUAUGUUAAUAAUAUCAAUGUUGACCGGGCAAAGUUUGUUGCGCACAUUACAAAAUACACUAUAUUGCGGUAUUUAUUAAAAAAGCAUAACUUUAUUUUUAUCGCUAAACGUUUAGCCCUGUAACAGUGUGUGUUACACAUGGAAAUCGUCCCGGUAAUCCAGUGGUUCCCAAAGUAUGGUUCGCGAUCCAAAUAUGGGUCGCACAGGGUUGAAAAAUGGGUCGCGCCAAGGUGAUUCAAAUUUAUUAAAAAUUCUUUUCAAGCGUUCGGGUUAGGUUUGCGUUGUAGUUCAGUCUUGUAUUUACUGGGUUUUUCUUAGGCAGGUGGACUGUUUGUUACGAAAUAGUAGGCAUUCACACGCAGUGUUCUAUUUUUUUUUCAAUUUCCGCCGACCGCAAAUUAUGACGUCAUGUAUUUCCGCGAAAAUUACGACUUUCGUAAAUACGGUGUGCAUUCGUACGAUGGUCGCUGACAUAAUCUCUAAUCAGUGAUUCAGCUAAUCAGUUAUAAAGUUAAACCGCACACGUAGUUUGUAAUAGUAUUAUCAUGCUAUUUGUACUCUACGCAAGACAUUUUUUAUAAACGAUAUAAGAAAACGAACUAUAUACAUGAGAGCAUAGACGUCGAUUUUUUAAUAAUAUUUGCUAAAUUUUAGGUGAUUUAUUCACAUGCUUGUUGCGUUCACAUGCGUAAGAAUUAUUCAUCGUAGACGAGACAAUCCUUAGGAUUAGCCAAUGGCAGACGGGAAAAUGCAAAUAUUCAACCUGUUUUCAAGCACCUGCGGGCUAAAAUCAAAGGGACAAUCGCUAGUAUGACGCAAAUAAUCAACGUGUGAAUUGCUAUUAUGUCGUUAUCAAUUGCCAGGUUCAACCAACCGCUAUUAUGAUACAAUGAAUCCAUGUGUGGAUCCCUACUAUUUCGUUAUAAACAUGCUGCUUGGCUGAGGAAAA